rnacentral:rRNA from 1 species
CGGGGUGCAGCAGGCGCGAAAACUUUACAAUGCGGGAAACCGUGAUAAGGGGACACCGAGUGCCAGCAUCAUAUGCUGGCUGUCCAGGUGUGUAAAAUACACCUGUUAGCAAGGGCCGGGCAAGACCGGUGCCAGCCGCCGCGGUAACACCGGCGGCCCGAGUGGUGAUCGUGAUUAUUGGGUCUAAAGGGUCCGUAGCCGGUUUGGUCAGUCCUCCGGGAAAUCUGAUAGCUCAACUAUUAGGCUUUCGGGGGAUACUGCCAGACUUGGAACCGGGAGAGGUAAGAGGUACUACAGGGGUAGGAGUGAAAUCUUGUAAUCCCUGUGGGACCACCUGUGGCGAAGGCGUCUUACCAGAACGGGUUCGACGGUGAGGGACGAAAGCUGGGGGCACGAACCGGAUUAGAUACCCGGGUAGUCCCAGCCGUAAACGAUGCUCGCUAGGUGUCAGACAUGGCGCGACCGUGUCUGGUGCCGCAGGGAAGCCGUGAAGCGAGCCACCUGGGAAGUACGGCCGCAAGGCUGAAACUUAAAGGAAUUGGCGGGGGAGCACAAGGGCGAAUGC